AACGAACGCUGGCGGCAUGCCUAACACAUGCCAGUCGAACGAGACCUUCGGGUCUAGUGGCGCACGGGUGCGUAACGCGUGGGAACCUGCCCUUAGGUUCGGAAUAACUCCCCGAAAGGGGAGCUAAUACCGGAUAAUGUCUUCGGACCAAAGAUUUAUCGCCUUUGGAUGGGCCCGCGUUGGAUUAGCUAGUUGGUAGGGUAAAAGCCUACCAAGGCGACGAUCCAUAGCUGGUCUGAGAGGAUGAUCAGCCACACUGGGACUGAGACACGGCCCAGACUCCUACGGGAGGCAGCAGUGGGGAAUAUUGGACAAUGGGCGAAAGCCUGAUCCAGCAAUGCCGCGUGAGUGAUGAAGGCCUUAGGGUUGUAAAGCUCUUUUACCCGGGAUGAUAAUGACAGUACCGGGAGAAUAAGCUCCGGCUAACUCCGUG
rnacentral:rRNA from 1 species